GGUAGAUACUUCCGCCGUCCAUCCAGAGUCACUGAAGGAAAACACACCACGUGAAUCGUUUUCCUUCAUUUCGCUCCCACGCAAAGGAGUGCCUCGUGGCCUGCCUCACAACGGAGCAACCCAGCUUCAAACAAGGCUACCGACAAUUUGAGCCGCAUGUCUCGAAGCAGCGUGUCUGUUCCGUACCCAUGCCGCACGCCAAACCCUUUGAUUCGUGUAGCGUCGGAAAGCUCUUCCUGGCGGACUUUCUUGAUCGCCUCAGCGCGGGCGCGACUAGCUUCAGUGUCUGACCGCAGUCGUGUGGGAUCACUCUGAGCCACCACGGCGAGCCGUUCAGCAGCCCUUCUAAUACGCUGUACAAUUUCUUCUUGUCGUCUGAUGCACUCCCUACGUCUUUCUUCUCGCUGUUGAUCUCUCCAGGCAUCUAGUUCUCUCCGCCGUGCAAUUCGACGUGCAUUCCGCCUUCGAGUCGCUGCAUACUGUUCAGCUUCGUUGCGGACUUUCGCCUCCGCCGCAGCGCGCUCCAUCUUGAGUACUUCUUCCUUGUGCUCCAAGAAUCUAGCCACUCUUCUUUUCAUUUCCUCCUGCCGCUUCUGCGCCUUCGCAUCCCGGUGGGCUUGCGUCUCUUCAGCACGAGCGCGCUCUUCAUCCUCCACUUUCUUUCGAGCCAGCUCCUUCGCUUCGAACGCGGCCUGUUGCCGCUGAAGUCGUUUGUUAAUCUCCGCAGAUUUCUGUGCCUGCCGCCUUCUCUCUUCCUUCUUCGUAUUCUCUUUACCAAAUCUGAGUACAAUGCCUGUGCGCAGUUUCUGUGCCUCGGCUAAAGCGGCAAUGCGAGCAAAUGAGAACGCUUGCCAAUGUCCCAUUCGUCUCUGCUGCAAAAGCGCAGUUUGUCGGUGAAGGUCUGUCACUUCCCGAAGGACGUGGGCACUAGCACGAGGAAAUUCCAGCUGCAGACGCUCGAGGAGCAGCAAUCUUGAUGCACCAGGGGACGAAAACUGUCCAUAAAUGAAGUUGAAAGUAUCCGUCACCUCUUGUAGAUUGCUUUCUGUGCAGUCUGGUAGACAAGGAUGACAGUGGGAUUCCGCUUGAGAGCCUGUCUCAUCAGAUUGAGGCAGCGGUUGCUGGGGAUCCGAGACUUCCCUAUUGCAAAGGGAGAUUUCUCCCUCGACUGUUUCUACCGCAGCAGGAGCGAUUCUUUCGUAGGUGGCGAGGCAUUGCCUGUGGGACCCAGUGCCUUCAUUUGGAACAGCGAAGGGAGCGGAAAUGGCAUUCACGUGACCAGUGCGCCUGUUCUGUCCCUCCCAUCUAUGGAAGUCGGUGGCUACACGUGAGCCAUUCAAAGCGCGUAAAAGUCCCUUCUUUCUCGCGUAUAGAGAGGCUAACUCAUGUUUCAUGCUCAUCUGCUCCGUCUGGAAGUCUUCUUCGAGACGCUGAAGUUUCUCCUGGUACUCAUUGCCGAGUUUCAAAAGACGCGACGCAGUUUGGCAGCAGCUGGUCGGGAGAGCCGAGUAGCAAGACUCCACGAAAUUUUCUUCUUCUUCUGUCAAUUCUCCAGGCUCUGGAGAAGCAGCCGUAUCUUUCGCCCUCGAACCCGCCGAGAUGGACCAAGAGCUGCCGCCACGCGUCAAGGACCCCUGCGUGGACUGCACAAACGGAAGACGCGCUUUGCUUUGUUGCGCCGCCCUCUGAGCACAGAUGUACUCCUUGUCCAAUUCCUGCUCUAUUGCAAUUACUACCAAGCCAUACUGCUGUAGCAGCCUUGUAAAGCGAAGCAUUUGCGAGUGCAGCGAUGGCUUUGGGAGCCCCGACACGUCCCUGUCGCUACCGAUGGAGAGGCUCUCAUGUGUCUCCGGGUGUCGAUCAGAUUCGCCACAAAAAGAAGACCCUGAACUCCACUUCGAGUCAGACAAACAUGUUUCACUUUGGCUGCAGCAGGUGCUGCCCAGCGACAGGCCAACUUGGUCGCCGCUUUUCAGUAGAGAGUUUCCUGCCUUGUUUUGAUGUCGGUGGAAAGGGGAACGAGGAGCGGUUUCGUCGUCCCCUGUGUUAUUUGGACUCGUUGGAGUUGCGGGUACCCUCCCUAGAGUCCUUGCAGAUUCACCAGUUAUGUCGCCACCAGUGAGCAGCGUAGCAAUUCGCUUCCCGAGCCGCGCAAGCAUCACGGCAUUUUCGAGGAGCGUUUCAGCCGACCAUAUGUCAUCAGCGGUGACAGCAGGGUCAUUAGUAUCCGCAUGUUCCGAUGACUGAUCACCGUGACGAGAGCAUCUGUGGAAAUUGCGGUCUUCUUGUCUUCCUGAGGGCGAGGGCACACGACUGUCGGUGUGUAGAAGGCUAUCACUUUCUACACUCCCACUUGGGAGGUGAGCAUUCUGGCCUUCGAUGCUCUCAACAAGAUGCUGACAGCGUCGCAGGGCAGCCUCAGUCUGAAUUCUCUGGCUGUGGAGGCUUGACGCAAAUGAGAUCCAUUCGGAUUUCUGCUGGCUGAGGGUUGCGAAGCUCUGGAAUGCCUCCACAGUGGACUGCAAAGCAGUCAGCUUAGUUUUGCUGCGUUGAUCUGCCUCACGUGCUUCGGCAACAGUGAAGGCGCGUCUCCGGAGAAAGUUCGAGGCGUUCAUGAUAGUUGCUCUUGGCGCGACUCCUGCACACGAACCGAAAAGCUGGCGUCACUCCAAGACGAGAAAUCUAUCAUUGAAAGGCGGCUGGUUUUUUGAGGGCUGCCGAGAAAGGCUCCCUCCCCCGGGGCUCUGCCGUUCCUCGAGACGGGGAAACACUGCAGAGGGCAGCAGCGCAAGACUUGAGGCAGGGGGUUGUCCAUGUCUUCACGGCUCUCCUUGGAAAGCCCACUGUAAGGAGUGUUCCUAAAACUCAGAAGCCGUCGCUUCCAGCAGAUCAACGAGGCGAUUAUUUGAUCAUAUUGAUAUGCAUCGUAACCUUGCUAAGAGGAUGCAAGACUCUUCACGACUUCCGGCGCGAUGUUUGAGGCCAAACACGCAACAAAAUUCUGGUUCCAUUUCACGUCGCGGACACGCUGUUUUCAGCCCGUUGUUGCGACAGCUAAUAACUGUGGGGCUGUGCAGACCCACAAGUCUCUUAUAAAGCUCUCCCUCCCCCAGAAGUUUGAGUCACACUGUCGCACCUGCACAACAUGUGCAAGCGACCCCCUGAACGCCGCGACAGCGAGUACUAUCCAUACUCUCUUAGAAGAGUUCCGUUCCCGCGUCAUGGGUCUUGUCAGCCACAAGACAAAGGUUUGUAGCCGACGAUUUCGAACCAGUAAAGUCGAAGUUAUCUUCAUUUCCACUGACAAUGAAAGGAACUCUCGUACUGAAGAAAAGACCUUGGCUUUUGCGCACUGUCUGAAUCAUUCUAUGACUACGUUCCUAAAAUUCGUCUCUACAAGACAGGCGACGCAGGUGGUUUACGACCCGUUCCGUCACCCCUGGUCUAGGAUCUCAUGUGUAGUUUGUUCGCCGGUGGGGAAGUGUUUCCAUGUCUGGUCAGAUUACUGCGAUGCCUCGAGUACUGCAUACAUGCAGUUUUCAUCAGUGUCUGGCUGCGUGACUGCUUCGGUGAAUGUGUUGUCAGGAGGUGAAGACUAAGUGCUAUACUUUAAAAAUUGCUACUGCCUAGGUACCUGCAUGUGUCUGACUGUCAUAUUACGCAUGUAGACCGGAUUUGGUCCACAGUAUGUUCUGAAGUGACACAGUAGAUGCCGUGCGAACUUGUGCGCGUCUCUCGUGGGCAGCACACUCGCUUCCUACAUAAAGCGAAAACAGUUUUGAACAACGUAUGCUGAAAUAAACAAUCGUUUUCGUGAAACCAGAUGCUUGCGCAUUUGGAAAUGUCAAUUUAUGCUUUGCGUGCAUCUGUAGUAUUUUCAGCGCACAUCCAAAACCGUGAAUAUGACUGCCAUUUCGUAAAUGCCCUAGACUGCUUGAAGCUGGCACGAUAAACCAUUGUCGCUUUGAGGCCACUCGGCCUCUGUGUUUGUGGUUCCAGUGUUGUGCACGUACUCGGUGAAAGUAC
rnacentral:lncRNA from 1 species